UGGGGAAUUUUGGACAAUGGGGGAAACCCUGAUCCAGCCAUCCCGCGUUUGCGAUGAAGGCCUUCGGGUUGUAAAGCACUUUUGGCAGGAAAGAAACGUCAUGGGUUAAUACCCCGUGAAACUGACGGUACCUGCAGAAUAAGCACCGGCUAACUACGUGCCAGCAGCCGCGGUAAUACGUAGGGUGCAAGCGUUAAUCGGAAUUACUGGGCGUAAAGCGUGCGCAGGCGGUUCGGAAAGAAAGAUGUGAAAUCCCAGAGCUCAACUUUGGAACUGCAUUUUUAACUACCGGGCUAGAGUGUGUCAGAGGGAGGUGGAAUUCCGCGUGUAGCAGUGAAAUGCGUAGAUAUGCGGAGGAACACCGAUGGCGAAGGCAGCCUCCUGGGAUAACACUGACGCUCAUGCACGAAAGCGUGGGGAGCAAACAGG
rnacentral:rRNA from 1 species